rnacentral:rRNA from 1 species
UACGAAGGGGGCGAGCGUUGUUCGGAUUUACUGGGCGUAAAGGGCGCGCAGGCGGCUCAUUUUGUCAGGCGUGAAAGCCCCGGGCUUAACCUGGGAGGUGCGUUUGAUACGGAUGGGCUAGAGUUCGGGAGAGGAGAGUGGAAUUCCCAGUGUAGAGGUGAAAUUCGAUAGAUAUUGGGAAGAACACCGGUGGCGAAGGCGGCUCUCUGGACCGAGACUGACGCUGAGGCGCGAAAGCGUGGGGAGCAAACAGG